UAGGGAAUCUUCGGCAAUGGACGGAAGUCUGACCGAGCAACCCCGCGUGAGUGAAGAAGGUUUUCGGAUCGUAAAGCUCUGUUGUAAGAGAAGAACGAGUGUGAGAGUGGAAAGUUCACACUGUGACGGUAUCUUACCAGAAAGGGACGGCUAACUACGUGCCAGCAGCCGCGGUAAUACGUAGGUCCCGAGCGUUGUCCGGAUUUAUUGGGCGUAAAGCGAGCGCAGGCGGUUAGAUAAGUCUGAAGUGAAAGGCAGUGGCUCAACCAUUGUAGGCUUUGGAAACUGUUUAACUUGAGUGCAGAAGGGGAGAGUGGAAUUCCAUGUGUAGCGGUGAAAUGCGUAGAUAUAUGGAGGAACACCGGUGGCGAAAGCGGCUCUCUGGUCUGUAACUGACGCUGAGGCUCGAAAGCGUGGGGAGCGAACAGGAUUAGAUACCCUGGUAGUCCACGCCGUAAACGAUGAGUGCUAGGUGUUAGGUCCUUUCCGGGACUUAGUGCCGCAGCUAACGCAUUAAGCACUCCGCCUGGGGAGUACGACCGCNNNNUG
rnacentral:rRNA from 1 species